UACGGAGGAUCCGAGCGUUAUCCGGAUUUAUUGGGUUUAAAGGGUGCGCAGGCGGGAGAUUAAGUCGGCGGUGAAAUUUUGCAGCUCAACUGUAAAAGUGCCUUCGAAACUGGUUUCCUUGAGUGUAGAUGAAGUAGGCGGAAUUUGUGGUGUAGCAGUGAAAUGCAUAGAUAUCACGAGGAACUCCGAUUGCGCAGGCAGCUUACUAAACUACUACUGACGCUCAGGCACGAAGGCGUGGGGAUCAAACAGGAUUAGAUAUCCCCGUA
rnacentral:rRNA from 1 species